UCCCCCUGGCAAUGGGAAAAAAGGCACCUUGUUGUUGGUGGUGUUCUUUUAUCAGUUAGGGUCAGAGUACAUGGCAGUCCUUUGUUCAUCCUAGCUUGAUGCCUGGCUUGGUGGCCAAAGCUGUAUUAUGCCUAGGAAACAUAA